rnacentral:sRNA from 1 species
ACUACGCCUUGAAAAAGGCAGCCGGCGC